rnacentral:rRNA from 1 species
CAUGCAAGUCGUGCGGUCCUUCUCGAUGGCGAGCUUGCUCAAAAUCGCGGUUCGGGAUAGCGGCGAACGGGUGAGUAACGCGUGGGCAACCUGCCCCAAAGACUGGGACAACUACUCGAAAGGGUAGCUAAUACCGGAUACCUUUAUUGAUACGCAUGUAUUUAUAAAGCAAGCCUUCGGGCGCUUGGGGAUGGGCCCGCGUUCCAUUAGCUUGUUGGUAAGGUAACGGCCUACCAAGGCUGCGAUGGAUAGCCGGCCUGAGAGGGCGACCGGCCACACUGGGACUGAGAUACGGCCCAGACUCCUACGGGAGGCAGCAGUGGGGAAUAUUGCGCAAUGGGCGAAAGCCUGACGCAGCAACGCCGUGUGGACGAUGAAGGCCUUCGGGUUGUAAAGUCCUGUCACAGGGGACGAAGCCCUAACUUGUUUAGGGUGACGGUACCCUGAAAGGAAGCCCCGGCUAACUACGUGCCAGCAGCCGCCGUAA